rnacentral:rRNA from 1 species
GACGAACGCUGGCGGCGUGCUUAACACAUGCAAGUCGAACGGUAAGGCCCUUCGGGGUACACGAGUGGCGAACGGGUGAGUAACACGUGGGUGAUCUGCCCUGCACUUCGGGAUAAGCCCGGGAAACUGGGUCUAAUACCGGAUAGUACUGCGCGGNGCAUGCCGUGUGGUGGAAAGAUUUAUCGGUGCAGGAUGGGCCCGCGGCCUAUCAGCUUGUUGGUGGGGUAAUGGCCUACCAAGGCGACGACGGGUAGCCGGCCUGAGAGGGCGACCAGCCACACUGGGACUGAGACACGGCCCAGACUCCUACGGGAGGCAGCAGUGGGGAAUAUUGCACAAUGGGCGCAAGCCUGAUGCAGCGACGCCGCGUGAGGGAUGACGGCCUUCGGGUUGUAAACCUCUUUCAGCAGGGACGAAGCGCAAGUGACGGUACCUGCAGAAGAAGCACCGGCCAACUACGUGCCAGCAGCCGCGGUAAUACGUAGGGUGCAAGCGUUGUCCGGAAUUACUGGGCGUAAAGAGCCCGUAGGCGGUUUGUCGCGUCGUCUGUGAAAACCAGCAGCUCAACUGUUGGCUUGCAGGCGAUGCGGGCAGACUUGAGUAUUUCAGGGGAGACUGGAAUUCCUGGUGUAGCGGUGAAAUGCGCAGAUAUCAGGAGGAACACCGGUGGCGAAGGCGGGUCUCUGGGAAAUAACUGACGCUGAGGAGCGAAAGCGUGGGUAGCGAACAGGAUUAGAUACCCUGGUAGUCCACGCCGUAAACGGUGGGCGCUAGGUGUGGGUUUCCUUCCACGGGAUCCGUGCCGUAGCUAACGCAUUAAGCGCCCCGCCUGGGGAGUACGGCCGCAAGGCUAAAACUCAAAGGAAUUGACGGGGGCCCGCACAAGCGGCGGAGCAUGUGGAUUAAUUCGAUGCAACGCGAAGAACCUUACCUGGGUUUGACAUACACCGGAAAGCCGUAGAGAUACGGCCCCCCUUGUGGUCGGUGUACAGGUGGUGCAUGGCUGUCGUCAGCUCGUGUCGUGAGACGUUGGGUUAAGUCCCGCAACGAGCGCAACCCUUGUCCUGUGUUGCCAGCGGAUAAUGCCGGGGACUCGCAGGAGACUGCCGGGGUCAACUCGGAGGAAGGUGGGGACGACGUCAAGUCAUCAUGCCCCUUAUGUCCAGGGCUUCACACAUGCUACAAUGGCCGGUACAGAGGGCUGCGAUACCGUGAGGUGGAGCGAAUCCCUUAAAGCCGGUCUCAGUUCGGAUCGGGGUCUGCAACUCGACCCCGUGAAGUCGGAGUCGCUAGUAAUCGCAGAUCAGCAACGCUGCGGUGAAUACGUUCCCGGGCCU